rnacentral:rRNA from 1 species
CCUACGGGGGGCAGCAGUAAGGAAUAUUGGUCAAUGGGCGCAAGCCUGAACCAGCCAUGCCGCGUGAAGGAUGACGGCCCUAUGGGUUGUAAACUUCUUUUGUACGGGAAAAAACCACCGGUCGUGAAUCGGUGCUGAUGGUACCGUAAGAAUAAGCAUCGGCUAACUCCGUGCCAGCAGCCGCGGUAAUACGGAGGAUGCAAGCGUUAUCAGGUUUCAUGGGGUUUAAAGGGAAUAAUAGCGGAGUAAUGAAAGCCUACAGCUUAACUGUAGAACUGCCAUUGCUACUGUUAUUCUUGAGUGUUGUUGAGGUAGGCGGAAUGUGUCAUGUAGCGGUGAAAUGCUUAGAUAUGACACAGAACACCGAUCGCGAAGGCAGCUUACCAAGCAACAACUGACGCUCAUGCACGAAAGCGUGGGGAUCAAACAGGAUUAGAUACCCGAGUAGUC